rnacentral:rRNA from 1 species
GUGACGAGCGGCGGACGGGUGAGUAAUGUCUGGGAAACUGCCUGAUGGAGGGGGAUAACUACUGGAAACGGUAGCUAAUACCGCAUAACGUCGCAAGACCAAAGAGGGGGACCUUCGGGCCUCUUGCCAUCAGAUGUGCCCAGAUGGGAUUAGCUAGUAGGUGGGGUAAUGGCUCACCUAGGCGACGAUCCCUAGCUGGUCUGAGAGGAUGACCAGCCACACUGGAACUGAGACACGGUCCAGACUCCUACGGGAGGCAGCAGUGGGGAAUAUUGCACAAUGGGCGCAAGCCUGAUGCAGCCAUGCCGCGUGUGUGAAGAAGGCCUUCGGGUUGUAAAGCACUUUCAGCGAGGAGGAAGGUGGUGAAACUUAAUACGUUCAUCAAUUGACGUUACUCGCAGAAGAAGCACCGGCUAACUCCGUGCCAGCAGCCGCGGUAAUACGGAGGGUGCAAGCGUUAAUCGGAAUUACUGGGCGUAAAGCGCACGCAGGCGGUUUGUUAAGUCAGAUGUGAAAUCCCCGGGCUCAACCUGGGAACUGCAUUUGAAACUGGCAAGCUAGAGUCUCGUAGAGGGGGGUAGAAUUCCAGGUGUAGCGGUGAAAUGCGUAGAGAUCUGGAGGAAUACCGGUGGCGAAGGCGGC